CGCACGGGUGAGUAACGCGUAUACAAUUUACCUUUUACAGGGGGAUAGCCUUUAGAAAUGAAGAUUAAUACCCCAUGGUAUUAUAGAGUGGCAUCACUUUAUGAUUAAAGCUUCGGCGGUAAGAGAUGAGUAUGCGUCCUAUUAGCUAGAUGGUAAGGUAACGGCUUACCAUGGCGACGAUAGGUAGGGGUCCUGAGAGGGAGAUCCCCCACACUGGUACUGAGACACGGACCAGACUCCUACGGGAGGCAGCAGUGAGGAAUAUUGGUCAAUGGAGGCAACUCUGAACCAGCCAUGCCGCGUGCAGGAAGACGGUCCUAUGGAUUGUAAACUGCUUUUAUAGAGGAAGAAACCCGGUUACGUGUAAUCGGCUGACGGUCCUCUACNAAUAAGGACCGGCUAACUCCGUGCCNGCAGCCGCGGUAAUNCGAGGGUCCAGCGUUAUCCGGAAUCAUUGGGUGUAAAG
rnacentral:rRNA from 1 species